AAACAAUUUAUUCAACUUCCUAAUAUAUAAAUGUAAAUCAAGUUGCAAGUAAAAACAUAAUUCAAAGCUGUUACGGGCCUUAAAUAUUUGUUUUGCUCAAAACAUACAUCAAAAUCGGAGGAAGCGCGUCGAAAUUAACGGGGAAGGUUUCUGCCAAAAUUGCUGACGUGGCCGGUGCUGACGCAGCAGGGAGAUGAUGCGGCAUGUGUCAGAGGACAUGGUGCUGACAUGGCGAGGCAAAUCAAGUGUGGGCAAGAGCACAGCAGUAGCGUGAAGUUAGCCGCAAUUCUAGGCGGAUCUUGAUCCGAGCUGAUAUGUUUGAGGUCUUGGCAGUUCCAACAAUGGGAAUGACGUUGCUGGAGGAUUGCGAGAUGCGAGGGAGCUUCAAACACUGGAUUCUGUUGGGUUCCAGUCGGAUUGUGAUUCGGGUCAAAAUCUGAUCCAAUGGUAUCUCAUUUUUCGAGCAACUUCUACCGGCUGAACUUACUUCAGGAGGAUCUCUUGGUGCCGGGAAAGGGUUUGGCAGUAAGAAGGCAAGGGACGGGCUUGCAAUGGACAAUGAUGAGGCAAGACGAAAAACAAUGGCAAUGGUUAGAAUGGUAGGCUAUGGGAAAACACUUUUUGAAGGAAAUAAAGAAACUCAUAUUGGGUAAAUUAAUGUUAAACAUUUAAAACGAUAGGAAUAGGAAAGGGGGGAAGAGACAUUCUCGAGUUUAU
rnacentral:misc_RNA from 1 species